rnacentral:rRNA from 1 species
GAGUUUGAUCAUGGCUCAGAUUGAACGCUGGCGGCAUGCCUUACACAUGCAAGUCGAACGGCAGCACGGGAGCUUGCUCCUGGGUGGCGAGUGGCGAACGGGUGAGUAAUGCAUCGGAACGUAUCCUGGAGUGGGGGGAUAACGUAGCGAAAGUUACGCUAAUACCGCAUAUUCUGUGAGCAGGAAAGCGGGGGACCUUCGGGCCUCGCGCUCUUGGAGCGGCCGAUGUCGGAUUAGCUAGUUGGUGAGGUAAAGGCUCACCAAGGCGACGAUCCGUAGCAGGUCUGAGAGGAUGAUCUGCCACACUGGAACUGAGACACGGUCCAGACUCCUACGGAGGCAGCAGUGGGGAAUUUGGACAAUGGGGGCAACCCUGAUCCAGCCAUGCCGCGUGAGUGAAGAAGGCCUUCGGUUGUAAGUACGUACUUCGUCG